CCUACGGGAGGCAGCAGUAGGGAAUUUUCGGCAAUGGGGGAAACCCUGACCGAGCAACGCCGCGUGAGUGAAGAAGGCCUUCGGGUUGUAAAGCUCUGUUGUAAGGGAAGAAGAGAUCAUAGAGGGAAUGCUAUGAUUGUGACGGUACCUUACCAGAAAGCCACGGCUAACUACGUGCCAGCAGCCGCGGUAAU
rnacentral:rRNA from 1 species